rnacentral:lncRNA from 1 species
ACAAUGUUUCUAACAAUAUAAAAAUGUAUAAUAUAUAUAAACACAAUUCUUUAAAACAUACAAAACUAAUUGAUAUAAACAAUGAUUUAUUUAAAAAAAUUAAUAAUACUAUUGGUAAAUUAAAUAUUGUAUUUAUUCCUACUAAAGCCAAUGCAGAAACAUUAAAAAAAGAAUUACCUUUUAUGUUUUUAAAUAAUAAAAAUAAUGACAAAAGUGAUAAAUAUUUAGUUUGGAUCGCAUCAGAAUUAAGUGAUACUAACUUUAAUGAUAUAAAUGUAAACUUGUAUAAAAUGAACCAAAUGGAGAAAAAUAUCAACAGUAGUAUUGUUAAUGUGGGUAAUGGUACGACAAUCACAACAGUCACAACAACCACUGCUAUAACUAACAACAAUAACAGCAGUAAUAGCAGUAAUAGCAGUAAUAGCAGUAACAAAAGUAACAGCAGUAAUAGCAGUAAUAGCAGUAAUAGCAGUAAUAGCAGUAAUAGCAGUAACAACAGUAACAAAAGUAACAGCAGUAAUAGCAGUAACAAAAGUAACAGCAGUAACAGCAGUAACAACAGUAACAACAGUAACAAAAGUAACAACAGUAACAACAGUAACAAAAGUAACAACAGUAACAACAGUAACAACAGUAACAACAGUAACAACAGUAACAAAAGUAACAGCAGUAACAACAGUAACAAAAGUAACAGUAGUAACAACAGUAACAAAAGCGGUAACAGCCACAUCAAUUGUUUACGAAUAAACUGCUAUGAUACAAAACCAAUAACAUAUACAAAUAAAAAAAUUAAAAAAAAUGCUAUUGUAUGUUUCAUGAGUAAUAGCGCGAUUUCGUCCUUUUAUAAAAAUUUUGGUUUUAAUUUUGACUAUGCUGUGUGCAUGGGUAAAACUUGUUUUCAACUUUUAAAAGAUUUAAAAUUUCAAAAACAAAUACUUUUUCCUUCCAAUUCUACACUAGAAUCUUUUUUAAAAAUUCUAAUAAAUUUAUAUAAUAAAUUAAAAAAAAACGAAAAAAAGGAAUAUUAUGUUUUAUUAACUAGAGAAAAAAACAAAAAUAAAGAAAUCAUAAAAGAACUACAGGAACAUAAUAUACCUUUUCAAAUAAUUCCAUGUAUAAUGACGCAGUAUAACUUUACAAAAAUUAUGCAGCUGUAUUUCACUGUUUAUUCGUAUGUUAAUAAAGCGGCUCAAACGGAUGGAAAAACGAAUGGAUAAAUGGGUAGGCAAAAAAAUAAAAGCUAUUUUUUUUGCGCUGUUUUUUUUUUU